rnacentral:rRNA from 1 species
UACAGAGGGGGGCAAGCGUUAUUCGGAAUUACUGGGCGUAAAGGGCUCGUAGGCGGUUUGUCGCGUCGGGAGUGAAAACUCAGGGCUCAACCCUGAGCGUGCUUCCGAUACGGGCAGACUAGAGGUAUGCAGGGGGAGAACGGAAUUCCUGGUGUAGCGGUGGAAUGCGCAGAUAUCAGGAGGAACACCGGUGGCGAAGGCGGUUCUCUGGGCAUGACCUGACGCUGAGGAGCGAAAGCAUGGGGAGCGAACAGG